CGGACGGGUGAGUAACACGUGGAUAACCUACCUAUAAGACUGGGAUAACUUCGGGAAACCGGAGCUGAUACCGGAUAAUAUAUUGAACCGCAUGGUUCAAUGGUGAAAGACGGUUUUGCUGUCACUUAUAGAUGGAUCCGCGCCGCAUUAGCUAGUUGGUAAGGUAACGGCUUACCAAGGCAACGAUGCGUAGCCGACCUGAGAGGGUGAUCGGCCACACUGGAACUGAGACACGGUCCAGACUCCUACGGGAGGCAGCAGAC
rnacentral:rRNA from 1 species